UACAGGAGGGUCCAAGCGUUGUUCCGGAAUUCACUGGGCGUAAAGGGCGCGUAGGCGGUCGGGUAAGUCUGAUGUGAAAUCUCACAGCUUAACUGUGAAACUGCAUUGGAUACUAUCCGGCUAGAGGAAUGGAGGGGAGACUGGAAUACUUGGUGUAGCAGUGAAAUGCGUAGAUAUCAAGUGGAACACCAGUGGCGAAGGCGAGUCUCUGGACAUUUCCUGACGCUGAGGCACGAAAGCCAGGGGAGCAAACGGG
rnacentral:rRNA from 1 species